ensembl:miRNA
UAUUACAUUGGUGCAAAAGUAACUGUGGCUUUUGCCAGUACUUUUAAUGGCAAAAACCACAAUUACUUUUGCACCAACAUAAUAUC